UACGUAGGGUGCGAGCGUUGUCCGGAAUUAUUGGGCGUAAAGCGCGUGUAGGCGGCUUUGCAAGUCGGGUGUGAAAGCCCUCAGCUCAACUGAGGAAGUGCGCCCGAAACUGCAGAGCUUGAGUACCGGAGAGGAUGGCGGAAUUCCCCAAGUAGAGGUGAAAUUCGUAGAUAUGGGGAGGAACACCGGUGGCGAAGGCGGCCAUCUGGACGGAUACUGACGCUGAGACGCGAAAGCGUGGGGAGCAAACAGG
rnacentral:rRNA from 1 species